AGCUGGAAGCAAGCAAGAGCAGCUGAGAAGGGACAUUGGGAAAGUGCUUGCUUUGCUUUGCAAGAAUGAAGAGCCAAGUGUGGAUCUCUAGCACGGGCGCAAGCCAGUGAGAGGAUUCAGUGGGUACAAGCGCUUGCGGCACAGGCUGAGCUCAAUCUUUGGAACGUAUGGUGGUAAUCAUUGAUGAGGUGAUCCCUUCUCCCUCCUUUGGAAAAGAAUCUUGGUAUGUAGCUCAGGCUAGCCUCACCUCAUGUCAACCCACUUGCCCAGCUACUGAGUGCAGAGCUAUAGAUGCCCCCAGAAUGGCUCUCCCAGCGCCCCAUCCAGGGAAGACACUACACUUUAAUUGUGUGAGUGAAGGAAGAGACACUACUUUUUAAGAUGUGAGAAUUACCGCAGCGCUAUUGGAGCUUCCGCAUGCACCAUGGACUUUUUCUGCGGCGAGAGCCACGCUCCGCACCUCUGUUCCUUCCUUCCAAUAAACCCCAGCACCUCUGAUUACCGAGGCUGAAGAUGCAAAGCCUUUUAAACUACUCCCCUCCAAACUUUUAAACUCGGGCUUUUAGGCAGUUAACGGUGAAGCUGCAGUACCAUGUCCUGCCACGAGAGGACCUGAGAGCCGCCGGACACUCCCCCCUCCAGGCAAUCCUGCCAGAGGUCCAGGGCACCCCCCUGCCCCAAACUGCCCGUACAGCUUGGAGUCUUCUGCCGCGACACCUCGCCUCCAAACGGGCUGCUUUUCUUCCUCUGGAAGAUGAACUGGAAAUACCCGGAGGCACGCUCCAGAAUGUUUACCUUAAACGAUUGAUAAUUGCCAGUCAUAACGGACGCACCUUUGUUGCAGGGUUUAAGGGCAGAAGCGUGCAAACAGAGCUGUAUAAUCUUUCUAACCCACUCCAAACUUGCUCCUAAGUUCUUCCGCCAAUUAAAAAGGCCCCCUAGGCAGUGUCCACACAGAUGUACCUCAACAUACUGCCUUGAAGGUCCAGAGCCCCUACUUGAGCACACUACAAAUGGCAAGUUUCGAGGGGGUAAAUUCUUCCUGUAUAGGAAUCUGGCUCAGGGGACAGUCCGCCCCAAGUGUGCUUUUCCAUCAUCAAUCUAUUUCAUCUUUGUUAUGUGAUACCCACGUGUUUCUUAGAAGCAGCAGCUUCAUGCGCAAAUGCUCAAAGAACCCUGGAAUAAAGCUUCGA